UGGCAGGCCGCCGGGUAAGCGUCGGCUCCGGCUGACUGGCCUGCCGGAAGACCCAAACUCUUUUGUUUAAUGAUGUCUGAAUACUAUAUAAUAGUUAAAACUUUCAACAACGGAUCUCUUGGUUCUGGCAUCGAUGAAGAACGCAGCGAAAUGCGAUAAGUAAUGUGAAUUGCAGAAUUCAGUGAAUCAUCGAAUCUUUGAACGCACAUUGCGCCCCUUGGUAUUCCGAGGGGCAUGCCUGUUCGAGCGUCAUUAUAACCAUUCAAGCCUCGGCUUGGUCUUGGGGUUCGCGGUUUCGCGGCCCUUAAAUUCAGUGGCGGUGCCGUCUGGCUCUAAGCGUAAAAUUCUCUCGCUAUAGGGUCCAGGUGACCACCUGCCACAACCCCCCAUUCUUUACGGUUGACCUCGGAUCACGUAUGGAUACCCGCUGAACUUAAACAUAUC
rnacentral:rRNA from 1 species